UGAAUUGGUGGCCGCUCGGGUGGUCGCGCAAGAAUUCGGGCCGAACCGGGUUACGGGUGUCGCGAGAGGCCGAUUGCAAGUGACUACAAGCAAUCGGAAAGCGUUUUGAGGUGGGUUGUGUUUACCGAAGCGACUAGGUCGCCUCUAUGUCUAAGAGUAAUGUGGUUUCAUAUUGAUGCAUGUAAAUGUUAGAUGGAUGCAUGUAGUAAAUGCUAAAGAGAAUGCAUGUGAGCAUGUUGUGUAGAAUGCAUGUCAAUGACAUAAUGUAAAAUGCUAAGUAGAUGCAUAUAACGUGAUGUAGAAAUGCUAGAAUGCAUGACGAGCAUAAUAUGUAAAUGCUAGAAAGUUGCAUGAAUGCAUGAUUAUAUGAUGCUAGGAGAGUGCAUAAUAAUACAUAAAUGAUUAGCAUUAUAAGGAUGUGCUAGAUUAUAUAUGCAUGUGAACUGUAGAAUACUCGGUUGGACAACUAGCAUGUCAAGUAGAUCGAGUGGCAUCGAACCUAGUGUUAAUAAACAUAGGUUGAACACGUGUGGCAUGUAACCUAGUGUUAAUAAACAUAGGUUGAACAAGUGUAGCAUGUAACCUAGUGUUAAUAAACAUAGGUUGGAUAAGUAUGGCACCGAACCUAGUGUUAUUGAACAUAGGUUGAAUGUGAACCUAGUGUCAUGAACCUAGGAUGGAUAAGAAUGAGUAUGAACCUAG
rnacentral:lncRNA from 1 species